rnacentral:rRNA from 1 species
UACGGAGGGAGCUAGCGUUGUUCGGAAAUACUGGGCGUAAAGCGCACGUAGGCGGCGCAGCAAGUCAGGGGUGAAAUCCCGGGGCUCAACCCCGGAACUGCCCUUGAAACUGCAGUGCUAGAAUUCUGGAGAGGCGAGUGGAAUUCCGAGUGUAGAGGUGAAAUUCGUAGAUAUUCGGAAGAACACCAGUGGCGAAGGCGACUCGCUGGACAGACAUUGACGCUGAGGUGCGAAAGCAUGGGGAGCGAACAGG